UACGAAGGGGGCUAGCGUUGCUCGGAAUCACUGGGCGUAAAGCGCACGUAGGCGGAUUGUUAAGUCAGGGGUGAAAUCCUGGAGCUCAACUCCAGAACUGCCUUUGAUACUGGCGAUCUUGAGUCCGGGAGAGGUGAGUGGAACUGCGAGUGUAGAGGUGAAAUUCGUAGAUAUUCGCAAGAACACCAGUGGCGAAGGCGGCUCACUGGCCCGGUACUGACGCUGAGGCGCGACAGCGUGGGGAGCAAACAGG
rnacentral:rRNA from 1 species